GCAAGUCGAACGGCAGCAUAGAGAGCUUGCUCUCUGAUGGCGAGUGGCGAACGGGUGAGUAAUAUAUCGGAACGUGCCUAGUAAUGGGGAAUAACUAGCUGAAAGGUUAGCUAAUGCCGCAUACGACCUACGGGUGAAAGCAGGGGAUCUUCGGACCUUGCGUUAUUAGAGCGGCCGAUAUCUGAUUAGCUUGUUGGUGGGGUAAUGGCCUACCAAGGCGACGAUCAGUAGCUGGUCUGAGAGGACGAUCAGCCACACUGGAACUGAGACACGGUCCAGACUCCUACGGGAGGCAGCAGUGGGGAAUUUUGGACAAUGGGGGAAACCCUGAUCCAGCCAUUCCGCGUGAGUGAAGAAGGCCUUCGGGUUGUAAAGCUCUUUCGCAAGAGAAGAAAACUUGCUAUCUAAUAAAUAGUAAGUAUGACGGUAUCUUGACAAGAAGCACCGGCUAACUACGUGCCAGCAGCCGCGGUAAUACGUAGGGUGCAAGCGUUAAUCGGAAUUACUGGGCGUAAAGCGUGCGCAGGCAGUUUUAUAAGUCAGAUGUGAAAUCCCCGAGCUCAAACUUGGGAACUGCGUUUGAAACUGUAAGACUAGAGUGUGUCAGAGGGGGGUAGAAUUCCAAGUGUAGCAGUGAAAUGCGUAGAGAUUUGGGGGAAUACCAAUGGCGAAGGCAGCCCCUCUGGGAUAACACCUGACGUUCAUGCACGAAAGCGUGGGGAGCAAACAGGAUUAGAUACCC
rnacentral:rRNA from 1 species